rnacentral:rRNA from 1 species
AUUGAACGCUGGCGGCAGGCCUAACACAUGCAAGUCGAGCGAGAGGCGGACGGGUGAGUAAUGUAUGGGGAACUGCCUGAUAGAGGGGGAUAAAUACUGGAAACGGUGGCUAAUACCGCAUACUAUCGGAUGAACCCCGAUGGGAUUAGCUAGUAGGUGGGGUAACGGCUCACCUAGGCGACGAUCCCUAGCUGGUCUGAGAGGAUGACCAGCCACACUGGAACUGAGACACGGCCCAGACUCCUACGGUAGGCAGCAGUGGGGAAUAUUGCACAAUGGGCGCAAGCCUGAUGCAGCCAUGCCGCGUGUAUGAAGAAGGCCUUAGGGUUGUAAAGUACUUUCAGCGGGGAGGCGUUACCCGCAGAAGAAGCACCGGCUAACUCCGUGCCAGCAGCCGCGGUAAUUC